rnacentral:rRNA from 1 species
UACGAAGGUCCCGAGCGUUGUUCGGAAUCACUGGGCGUAAAGGGAGCGUAGGCGGCGUGGCAAGUCAGAUGUGAAAUCCCGGGGCUCAACCCCGGAACUGCAUCCGAUACUGCCAUGCUCGAGGAUUGGAGAGGUAGCUGGAAUUCUUGGUGUAGCAGUGAAAUGCGUGGAUAUCAAGAGGAACACUCGUGGCGAAAGCGAGCUACUGGACAACUCCUGACGCUGAGGCUCGAAGGCCGGGGGAGCGAAA